rnacentral:rRNA from 1 species
UACGGGGGGUGCGAGCGUUGUCCGGAAUCACUGGGCGUAAAGGGCGCGUAGGUGGUUUGAUAAGGGUGUGGUGAAAGUCCGGGGCUCAACCCCGGAUCUGCCGUGCCGACUGUCAAACUCGAGGACUGUAGAGGCAGACGGAAUUCCGGGUGUAGCGGUGGAAUGCGUAGAGAUCCGGAGGAAGACCGGUGGCGAAGGCGGUCUGCUGGGCAGUUUCUGACACUGAGGCGCGACAGCGUGGGAAGCAAACAGG